UGCGCGGAAGAUGUAACGGGGCUAAACCAUGCACCGAAGCUGCGGCAGCGACACUAUGUGUUGUUGGGUAGGGGAGCGUUCUGUAAGCCUGCGAAGGUGUGCUGUGAGGCAUGCUGGAGGUAUCAGAAGUGCGAAUGCUGACAUAAGUAACGAUAAAGCGGGUGAAAAGCCCGCUCGCCGGAAGACCAAGGGUUCCUGUCCAACGUUAAU
rnacentral:rRNA from 1 species